AGUUGUGAGGGCGAUCUGGCUGUGACAUCUGUCACCCCAUUGAUCGCCAGGAUUGAUUCGGCUGAUCUGGCUGGCUAGGCGGGUGUCCCCUUCCUCCCUCACCGCUCCAUGUGCGUCCCUCCCGAAGCUGCGCGCUCGGUCGAAGAGGACGACCGUCCCCGAUAGAGGAGGACCGUUCUUCGGUCAAGGGUAUACGAGUAGCUGCGCUCCCCUCCUAGAACCUCCAAACAAGCUCUCAAGGUCCAUAAUGGGAAAAGUAAAAUUUGCCAACCCUCUUUCCAGG
rnacentral:snRNA from 1 species